rnacentral:rRNA from 1 species
UCUCAGUUCGGAUUGUAGGCUGCAACUCGCCUACAUGAAGUCGGAAUCGCUAGUAAUCGCGGAUCAGCAUGCCGCGGUGAAUACGUUCCCGGGCCUUGUACACACCGCCCGUCACACCAUGAGAGUUUGUAACACCCAAAGCCGGUGGGGUAACCUUUUGGAGCCAGCCGUCCAAGGUGGGACAGAUGAUUGGGGUGAAGUCGUAACAAGGUACC